rfam:Candidatus Dadabacteria bacterium RIFCSPHIGHO2_12_FTLL_53_21 rifcsphigho2_12_scaffold_8587, whole genome shotgun sequence.
GGGGAGGUGGCUGAGCGGUCAAAAGCAGCAGACUGUAAAUCUGCCGGUGCAAGCCUACGUAGGUUCAAAUCCUGCCCUCCCCA